AUUGAACGCUGGCGGCAGGCCUAACACAUGCAAGUCGAACGAGUGGCGGACGGGUGAGUAAUGUCUGGGAAACUGCCCGAUGGGGGGGGAUAACCACUGGAAACGGUAGCUAAUACCGCAUAUCAUCGGAUGUGCCCAGAUGGGAUUAGCUAGUGGGUGGGGUAACGGCUCACCUAGGCGACGAUCCCUAGCUGGUCUGAGAGGCUGACCAGCCACACUGGAACUGAGACACGGUCCAGACGCCUACGGGAGGCAGCAGUGGGGAAUAUUGCACAAUGGGCGCAAGCCUGAUACAGCCAUGCCGCGUGUAUGAAGAAGGCCUUCGGGUUGUAAAGUACUUUCAGCGAGGAAGCGUUACUCGAAGAAGAAGCCCCGGCUAACUCCGUGCCAGCAGCCGCGGUAAUUC
rnacentral:rRNA from 1 species